AAUAUUGGACAAUGGGGGCAACCCUGAUCCAGCCAUGCCGCGUGUGUGAAGAAGGUCUUCGGAUUGUACAGCACUUUAAGUUGGGAGGAAGGGCUUUAGGCUAAUACCCUGAAGUUUUGACGUUACCAACAGAAUAAGCACCGUCUAACUCUGUUCCAGCAGCCGCGGUAAUACAGAGGGUGGAAGGGUUAAUCGGAAUUACUGGGCGUAAAGCGCGCGUAGGUGGUUCAGUAAGAUGGGUGUGAAAUCCCCGGGCUUAAACUGGGAACUGCUUUCAGAACUGCUGAGCUAGAGUACGGUAGAGGGUAGUGGAAUUUCCUGUGUAGCGGUGAAAUGCGUAGAUAAAGGAAGGAAAACCAGUGGCGAAGGCGACUACCUGGACUGAUACUGACACUGAGGUGCGAAAGCGUGGGGAGCAAACAG
rnacentral:rRNA from 1 species